GUCACUUUGUCCGAGUGGUUAAGGAGGCAGACUUGAAUUUUUCAAAGAUAUCUGCUGCGGAAACGCGCACAGGUUCAAAUCCUGUAGGUGACG
rnacentral:tRNA from 2 species